AUUGAACGCUGGCGGCAUGCCUUACACAUGCAAGUCGAACGGUAACGGGCCUUCGGGUGCCGACGAGUGGCGAACGGGUGAGUAAUACAUCGGAACGUGCCCGAUCGUGGGGAUAACGAGGCGAAAGCUUUGCUAAUACCUCAUACGAUCUACGGAUGAAAGCAGGGGACCGCAAGGCCUUGCGCGGACGGAGCGGCCGAUGGCAGAUUAGGUCGUUGGUGGGAUAAAAGCUUACCAAGCCGACGAUCUGUAGCUGGUCUGAGAGGAUGAUCAGCCACACUGGGACUGAGACACGGCCCAGACUCCUACGGGAGGCAGCAGUGGGGAAUUUUGGACAAUGGGCGCAAGCCUGAUCCAGCCAUGCCGCGUGCAGGAUGAAGGCCUUCGGGUUGUAAACUGCUUUUGUACGGAACGAAAAGCCUUCUUUUAAUACAGGAGGGUCAUGACGGUACCGUAAGAAUAAGCACCGGCUAACUACGUG
rnacentral:rRNA from 1 species